CUUUAUUUAUUUUCAGAUUUCCUCCCACACCGCUAUUCAGAGCUGGUGAUGAAAACGGGGAAAUAUGAAAGGAACGCUUGAAUUUUCACGUGUUCCUUUAUUUGUUUCUCUCAGUAUAUCUGCUUUGAAACUAUACAAAA